rnacentral:rRNA from 1 species
UACGAAGGGGGCUAGCGUUGCUCGGAAUCACUGGGCGUAAAGCGCACGUAGGCGGCUUUCUAAGUCAGGGGUGAAAUCCUGGAGCUCAACUCCAGAACUGCCUUUGAUACUGGAAAGCUUGAGUUCGGGAGAGGUGAGUGGAACUGCGAGUGUAGAGGUGAAAUUCGUAGAUAUUCGCAAGAACACCAGUGGCGAAGGCGGCUCACUGGCCCGAUACUGACGCUGAGGUGCGAAAGCGUGGGUAGCAAACAGG